rnacentral:rRNA from 1 species
AAGGUAACCUUGGGUUUGGUCCUUGUCUAUGUUCCUUGGAACAGGACGUCAUAGAGGGUGAGAAUCCCGUCUGGUGAGAUGCCCAUUCCUAUGUAAGGUGCUAUCGAAGAGUCGAGUUGUUUGGGAAUGCAGCUCUAAGUGGGUGGUAAAUUCCAUCUAAAGCUAAAUAUUGGCGAGAGACCGAUAGCGAACAAGUACAGUGAUGGAAAGAUGAAAAGAACUUUGAAAAGAGAGUGAAAAAGUACGUGAAAUUGUUGAAAGGGAAGGGCAUUAGAUCAGACUUGGUGUUUUACGAUUAUCUUCUCUUCUUGAGUUGUGCACUCGUAUUUCACUGGGCCCUCAUCAAUGCGGAUGGCAAGAUAAUGGCUGUUGAAUGUGGCUUCACUUCGGUGGAGUGUUAUAGCUUCUGCUGAUAUUGCCUGUCGGGAUCGAGGGCUGCGU